GGGCCCGCACAAGCGGUGGAGCAUGUGGUUUAAUUCGAUGAUACGCGAGGAACCUUACCAGGGCUUAAAUGGAAAAUGACAGGGGCAGAGACGCCCCCUUCUUCGGACAUUUUUCAAGGUGCUGCAUGGUUGUCGUCAGCUCGUGCCGUGAGGUGUCAGGUUAAGUCCUAUAACGAGCGCAACCCCUACCGUUAGUUGCCAGCGAGUAAUGUCGGGGACUCUAACGGAACUGCCGGUGCAAACCGUGAGGAAGGUGGGGACGACGUCAAAUCAUCACGGCCCUUACGUCCUGGCCACACACGUGCUACAAUGGUAGGUACAGAGGGAAGCCACCCCAGCGAGGGGGAGCG
rnacentral:rRNA from 1 species